UGAUGAUGAUGAUGAUGAUUCUGCGCCGGGGUUUCCAGUAAGGAGUGCUCUGUAUACAGCGUGGCAGUAAUGCCGGAAGGGUUCUCGGUUCGUGGAGCACCGUGGGCGAGCAGCACGCGUGAUGGGUGGAUGGAUGUUUGCGGGAGUCUACUGCUCCUUUCUUCCCCACCCGAAACAGACUAUUAUUCCCACAGACACGGACCAAUACACACUCGUUUGUCGGGCGUCCUGCACACACACACACACACACACACACGCGCGCACACACACACGAACGGAACACAGUUUUGAUUUUUUUUUUUUUUUUAAAUAAAUUGUUGAAAUUAAAGAAGUUGAAAUGUUUCAUUUCUGCAACAUUUUAUGUAACCUGAGUGGUUAUAGACUUGGAGGAAACAACGUGCUGCCCGCUGUGAUGACCAGGAACAUGUGGCAGUAAAAACACAGUGGGGAGAGAUGGGAUGAUUUGCUUGACUCCCUGAAUCACAGUAUGUGGUACGCCUUCUACCAGGUGAGGCACUUGAGAUGAUUGUCCUUUCAAUUAAGGCAAUAUAUUUCUUACUGUCUUUGUUGCAGUCAUCUGCCAGCAGUUAUUCUUGAAAUGGACCUCAUCAAUCUCUUUCCUGUUAUUCAAAUCAUCCCUUCUGAUCAGACACUGGUCUUGUCCAGGAUAAAUAUUGAGAGGACCAUAUCAGCCCACAGUGGACAACAUGCAAGUCCUCAAGCUGAACUAGUGACAGUACAUGCUGUAGCUUCCAGUUUCUCGAACAUCAUGUCUAAUUCUAUCCCAUGUCUUCACACAAGUCUGGACUUAUUCCUUUUGUUCAACCAGGGCAAGUAAGCCCUGAUACAUAAUGUUUGUUUAUUUCACCAUGGAUUAUCCAAUCAUAUGGACAUGUGCUGUUUUUUUUUUUCAAGAUUUCAUUACUAAUUUGUGAGUAUUGGACAAGGUAUUUGAUCAAUUCAAACAGUUUUUAACACUGAAUAUGUACGUUUUCUUGCUGUAGUCUGACUGAUAUUUUGUGCCUUGGUUUACAAUGGACCUUAUUCACUUAGUAAUUAAUCAUAAAAAGUUGUUGACAGUAAAAUCUAGGCAAACCAACUGUAAUGCAUUGUGUUGUACUGUAUUUUUUAAUGAUAAAAUUCUGGCUAAAUUUGAACUUUACAAUAAAAUACCAUGAUAUACGGUUGUGUUGUGGUUUUCAUCUGAGAAAGACUAAUUAGGUUUACAGUAAAUUUAUUUUACAGUAGUUUACAUUGUUGUAAAUAAAGCAGUUCUCAACUGUGAAA